CGUAGACUCCUACGGGAGGCAGCAGUGGGGAAUAUUGCACAAUGGGCGCAAGCCUGAUGCAGCCAUGCCGCGUGUGUGAAGAAGGCCUUCGGGUUGUAAAGCACUUUCAGUUGUGAGGAAAGGUUAGUCGCUAAUAUCGGCUAGCUGUGACGUUGACGUAACAGAAGAAAGCACCGGCUAACUCCGUGCCAGCAGCCGCGGUAAUACGGAGGGUGCGAGCGUUAAUCGGAAUUACUGGGCGUAAAGCGCGUGUAGGUGGCUUGUUAAGCCAGAUGUGAAAGCCCCGGGCUCAACCUGGGAACUGCAUUUGGAACUGGCAGGCUAGAGUUUUGUAGAGGGUGGUAGAAUUUCAGGUGUAGCGGUGAAAUGCGUAGAGAUCUGAAGGAAUACCGGUGGCGAAGGCGACCACCUGGCCAAUAACUGACACUGAGACGCGAAGGCGUGGGUAGCAAACGGGAUUAGAUACCCUGGUAG
rnacentral:rRNA from 1 species